rnacentral:rRNA from 1 species
ACACAUGCAAGUCGAACGAAGCACUUUAACCUGAUUCUUCGGAUGAAGGUUUUUGUGACUGAGUGGCGGACGGGUGAGUAACGCGUGGGUAACCUGCCUCAUACAGGGGGAUAACAGUUAGAAAUGACUGCUAAUACCGCAUAAGACCACGGAGCCGCAUGGCUCAGUGGGAAAAACUCCGGUGGUAUGAGAUGGACCCGCGUCUGAUUAGGUAGUUGGUGGGGUAACGGCCUACCAAGCCAACGAUCAGUAGCCGACCUGAGAGGGUGACCGGCCACAUUGGGACUGAGACACGGCCCAAACUCCUACGGGAGGCAGCAGUGGGGAAUAUUGCACAAUGGGGGAAACCCUGAUGCAGCGACGCCGCGUGAGCGAAGAAGUAUUUCGGUAUGUAAAGCUCUAUCAGCAGGGAAGAAAAUGACGGUACCUGACUAAGAAGCACCGGCUAAAUACGUGCCAGCAGCCGCGGUAAUACGUAUGGUGCAAGCGUUAUCCGGAUUUACUGGGUGUAAAGGGAGCGUAGACGGCUGUGUAAGUCUGAAGUGAAAGCCCGGGGCUCAACCCCGGGACUGCUUUGGAAACUAUGCAGCUAGAGUGUCGGAGAGGUAAGUGGAAUUCCCAGUGUAGCGGUGAAAUGCGUAGAUAUUGGGAGGAACACCAGUGGCGAAGGCGGCUUACUGGACGAUGACUGACGUUGAGGCUCGAAAGCGUGGGGAGCAAACAGGAUUAGAUACCCUGGUAGUCCACGCCGUAAACGAUGACUACUAGGUGUCGGGGAGCAAAGCUCUUCG